UCUGUAUAAAAUUGUUUAUUUGACCAUAUUUUUAUGAUGUUUUCGACUGCAGGAAGUAGUUGGAUUGUUCUUUGGAGGUCUACAUGCAGGUUCUCAGGACUGAAUGCUUGAGAAAUAGGAGAGCUCGUAUCCUACACAGAGAAGUAGCUCUUCGUUGUUACUUCCUCAGUGACCCAGCUCAGCUUCACUUACACUUCAGGCGUGGUUAUUUUCUUCUACUAGGGAAAGGGUUGUGCUCGGUUGAGGAAGAACGUGUUUAUUCAUGCCAUCCACCAGGUUAGAUCAAGGCUUUCUUGCACGUUUAACAAUCUAUCCACACACAGUAUGCUAUCUGAAAAUACACAGAAUAUGAAAAAGUGAAUGCAUAAGCGAAUUAGGAAAUAUGAUUACUGCAAACCAGUGAUGGAACUCGAUUGUGGAAGUAGAUGAUGCUCAACUACUAAGGUUUGAA